rnacentral:lncRNA from 1 species
CUACAGAGAAGUGUGGAGCCCACGGAGAAAAUGGAAUCCAUUUAGCCCCAUGUGUGGUGCACACCUCUAAUCCCAGGACUCUGGGAAGCUGAGGCAGGAAGAUUGCAAGUUCAAGCCCAGCCUGGGGAACUUAGUGACUUCAGGAGACUCUUCAGGAAGGCAAGGCUGGAGGGCUGUAUAGCGACGGCCUCUUGCCUUCUCUGCUGCAGGAAACUAGAGUCACCUGGUCUCCUUGGUCUUGAGCUGGGCAAAGUCUUCGGUGGG